ACCCACGGGAUUUCGAGUACUUAGUGGGCGUGCAUUGUUUAGAAGUCUUAGCUUAUUUGCUUCCGCUGUGCAAUGAAGAUACCGGUCCAGUCACGCCAGCUCUGAUAUUUCGGGGUGUGACAUUCUACUUUUGCUCAGGGGGUUCAACGUUAUGUAAGACGACCUUUAAUGGUUGCAGUACCGGAAACAACAAGUCCAGCUCUCCUCGAGUCUAUGGCUAAUUUGGUUCCACUAUUCUUAGCGUGGGGCCGUAUCCAUGGGGUAAUGCAUACACCCACAUCAACCUCUUUGCACUUUCUACAAGGGAGUUAAUUCUGCAGAAACUUGAUAAUGUUGUGGAUGACCUUCAUACACUUGCUACUCAUUAUUUCUCCACACUCCCAAACCUAAUAGUUAGCAUUUCAGUUUGGUUUUGAUCAUCUUCUUUGGUUCAUACAUGGAUUGGAAAUUCUUCUCAAGCUGGAAACAAGAUUAAGAAAUUCUGAAGGGAAAGCACCUGGGUCUACUCAUUCAUUUUGGUUAUCAGACGUUCCCUUUCUUGGUGGCCUCUUUCAUCCAAAGUUAGUUAAAUGGGGCUGGUACUUCUUUCAUGAUGCUCAAAAGCUACUAUUUCUUUCUUUGUUGCUGGUCUUGGUGGUGCUUAUUUUGGAAGAAACUUCGGUACAGUGUGUGAUAUGGGUUGGGUAAUUACUGCACAAAAGGUUCUAAUGUCUCUGUGGCAUAAGUGGCAAACUAAAACAGCUUACAGCACAAAGUUUUUUUAUAUUUCCAUGGAAUGCAAUUGUGUUCCAGAUGGUGGAUUUUAAUACGUUCAUGAAUCCUCUUAUUUUCUCUCUUAGUAAUAUCGCAACUACGUUGGUUGUGUUUUUUGUUGGGCUUGCUGGUGAUCAAAAUAAGAAACAUACAUUGGACAUUUGAAGGUUUGUAUAAAUUCAAGUCAGAGUUGUAGAUAUGGAAUCUUAGCACCAGUCAAGGCAACAAAUGUCUAUGUUCAGCAGCCAUCAGCAAUGGAGACCGUAAAGAUUCGAGUUGAAGAAUUCACACAAUUGAAAUCCAGCCUAAGCCUAGUACUUAAUGAUGGCUGGAACAAAGCCUUUGCUAAUGACAACAACCGGUAUGAACCGUCUGCUGCUACUAAACACGUUCCACUUGUGCCUUUGGUUCUUGCACUCACAUCCUUUGAGGCUCUCUAUGGACGUAAACCACCUAAUAUAGCUUGCUACACCCAUACUACUAUGACAGUUUUCAUCUCAUGCUCGUUCGUGACACCAAUAUUGGAACAAUGGGAUUCCUUCCCGACCAAAGUAAUUCAUUGGGACGACACUACCCCUUUGCUUAAACCGUUUACACUCUCCCACCUUGAGGACAAGGUGGCCUUGAAAGGGGGAAGUAAACCCCAUUAAACAGCCCAACUCAUGAGGCCCAACAAGUUGAGCCCACCUGUGUGAAUGGUGAAGGAGUAAUCGCAGAAUAUAUACGUCAGGAUAGAUAGAGAUUAGGCAUGACGAAUAUUGUUAAAAGUGCAGUGAUUUCUUCUUCUCACCUCCCUAUCUGAAUAUAUGGUUUCCCAUCCCCCUUCAUUAUCAAUGGUUUCUACUUUGCUUCUAGUUGUAACCAUUCCAUGAAAUCGAUAAAAAUAUAGUUGAUUAAACUUUUAA